UACGUAGGGGGCAAGCGUUGUCCGGAAUCAUUGGGCGUAAAGCGCGUGUAGGCGGUCCGGUAAGUCCGCUGUGAAAGUCGGGGGCUCAACCCUCGAAUGCCGGUGGAUACUGUCGGGCUAGAGUGCGGAAGAGGCGAGUGGAAUUCCUGGUGUAGCGGUGAAAUGCGCAGAUAUCAGGAGGAACACCAAUUGCGAAGGCAGCUCGCUGGGACGUAACUGACGCUGAGACGCGAAAGCGUGGGGAGCAA
rnacentral:rRNA from 1 species